UUCAUAAGGGGAUUGGUUCACAAGAAGUCACCUGAGUAUGAUUCAUUCCUUGUUCAAACCCGUCUCGGGAGAGAUGAAUUAACAUCAAAAUACAAACAACGCCAGGCCUAUCCACAACACUGUGUGGAGUGACAAGGUGGCCCACAAUGUGGGGCUCAGCAGGACCAGUUCUGAGGACCAUUCUCAAGAUGGGGAAGACGGUAGUGAGGCAACCUUGGCUUUUCACCAGUGGGAACCCUGCUAAGUGGUUUAACAAGUGCUAUGAUUUCAGAAUGGGUUUUCUUUUGAGUGCCUGGUAAAGCCUGGCCCCAGGAUGGUAGUCUGGACUGGACUGACAUGCUGGAAUGGACCCCUCAGGGGUGGCUGGACAAAGGUGAAGGCCUUUCCCAAGAAAGCGAGCUCUGCUGAGAACUGAGUUCACACCAGUGAGGGCAGCUGCCGGGAGAGGCUGCCAGUCCCCUGGUCCGUCUCCUCUGCAAGCUCUACUUACCCUGCCUCCUGCCAGAGGUCGGAGCAGCAUGGCUGCUUGCCAGAAGCUGGACCAGUUCUCAGAGUCCCAGCUGCCAAAACCGGAAGCCAAACGAGCCUCUAUGUCCACGGUCACUCAGUCUUGGGAUUUCUACUCCAGUCACAGGAAACACACCAAGAUGGUGGAACUGGCCUUGGACCUGAGACGAGUGGCUGAUGGCUGAUCCUCAUUGUCUGUUUGCCUACAUUUGGGAAUCACCUAGGAGACUGAAGCUUUUUGGAGAGGAUUAAGGGUGGGGGAAGACCCACCUGUGAACUGUGGUCCCGAGGAGAGCCAGACAAGCUCUGGAAUUUGUCUGCUUUCUCUGCUCCCUGAUCCGCUGAGAUAUGAACAAGCAGCCCUCUGUUCCUGAUGCCACAGCCGCACGUCUCGCACUUCCGUGCUUCCUUUAUGGAAUGGAUAACACCCUCGAAUCAUGAGCCAAAGAAAAGGCUGCUUCAGCUUCCAGAGCUGCUGAAUUCAUCCAUGAGGGUCCCAUGUAGGACAGAAGACGCCAGAAGCUUGCUGGGAGAGCACUGUUCCCUGACCUACAUGAAAACCUGUAGUGACUGAGCAUGAGUUAAAGCAGAAGGAGGGUAUUAUGACAAGAGGAAGGUCUGGGAGACUCCCCUGUCCCAGGCUCCUCCCUUGAGGUCUCCUGCCCUCCUCAGAAUGCCCAGGAAGCAGGAGGCUGGAAGACCGGAGUAGACAGUCACCACAAGGUCCUGGAGGGGCUCUGUCCUCUAGACCCAGAUGCAAGAACUUCCGGGGGGGGGGGUGUGGUUAUGGGGAGGAUCACUCAGGGACCUCUGAGAGCUGUUUCACCAGAAUGAGGGUGAAGAAGAUUUGGGGUACAGGGCAAAGAAGUUACCUUCCCUCCAUGCCUUUGGGUUACAUCCCUCUGUGCCGUUGGGUUACAUCUCACUUCAGUGUUUCAUAUUCACAGAUGUGCCUGCUCCUUCCCUUGCCUGUGUUGGGGCUGGAGUAUCAGGGCUGUGACUCCCUCCUACAGGAACUAGCUGGGUCUGGAAUCACAGCUGAAGUCUAUAUAAGUCCUAGAGAACACAGAGAGCAAGAGAAAAAUUGCCCUGGGCUGGAGGAUAGAGCACCCUAAACUCAGGAUUAAUAAAAAUGUUCCUGGGAGGAGUGUGGGAGUUGCUAUAAUCAGCAAUUUAGACUGGCAGUAUGCUAUGAGCAUAUAAAUCCCUAGCUCCCCUUCACUUCCCCAUGGAGCAACUAACUGUCUUUCUCUUCUGUUAGCAAAAAUCCCAAGGUUUAUUCUCCAGAGCUGCAGAGACAGCCAGACUCCUCCAGUGGCUCUCUGGAAGAUCCCCUGGGAGACCAAAUGAGUUCCUCAAGAUGACAGCAUUCAGGAUCCACCACCCAGUGAUGGAGCUCAAAUAUGGACACAACCAGCCCUGAAUCUGAGAGUCAGCCAAGGGGCGACAGACAUCUGGCAUAUGCAUGUCCUAUACGAGGACAGGAAAGUACCUCAACCCUCAAGUUGCAAAAUUCAAGGAUGGAGAACAUAAAGUGGAAGACCACCAAUAGUGUGUUUUAAGAAAAUUGCCAAAAGUUAAAGUUUCCUCUGCAGAUGGAAAGAGAUACCCACUCUAGGACACACGCUCAGGAAAACAUGGAAACACCUCAGGCGGAAGAUUCUACGCUUUUCCAAGAGAAAAAGCAAGUCACACAAAACCUGAGGCAGUGGAAUCUCCCUUGGACUUCUCAGCUCCCCUGAAAGAAAAACAAUGCUGGCCAACACUCUAGCUCUGAAUGAAAAAUUUGUCUCCACACACUAGAAUUCUAUUCCCAGCUCAACUAUCCAUCAGCUAUUGCUGGGGAAAGAUGCCUUCUGACAUGUGAAGUCCUAAGAGUUAUAUCCUAAACUUUUCCUGGGCCAAGUCCUCACCCACUCUGUGUCCUCAGUGCACUCGAAACUUUGUAGCCUACUAGGCAAGUCAUGCAUUCAGCCUUGCCUUUCCAUAAAGAUGUGACCUCGAGGAAAACUGGAGGCCCUUCUAAUUGGGUCACUGCUGUAUUCUUGGGGCCUGUAACUGCAUAGCACAUAAGUGGUGUGCAAUGACUUUUUGCCUCUGUGUAUGUUUACCAUGGAGGCCAGAGGAGGGCCUUAGAUCCCCUAGUUACAGAAGCUUGUGAACCACCAUGUGGGUGCAGCAAGUGCUCUUAAGAGCUAAGUCAUCUUUCCAGCGCUUGCAGUGACUCUUGAAGAAUAAAAGCCACACAGUUCAAUCUGUUGGGCACCUGAUCUGGGUCAGCGAUAUUUUCCUGUGUUUCCCCCAAUGAACCUCUGCCAUCGUCGUCUGGAGGCUGAAGAGACACUUGGUGUAUGGCUCACCUGCUCUCAGGCCUAGAACUGCCACCUGCCACACAGGGGACAUCACUACUUUCUCAGUUGUUCCUUGCAGCCAAAAUCUACAUUCUGUCUUGGUA